rnacentral:rRNA from 1 species
AGCGAACGCUGGCGGCAGGCCUAACACAUGCAAGUCGAACGGACCCUUCGGGGUUAGUGGCGGACGGGUGAGUAACACGUGGGAACGUGCCCUUUGGUUCGGAACAACUCAGGGAAACUUGAGCUAAUACCGGAUGUGCCCUUCGGGGGAAAGAUUUAUCGCCAUUGGAGCGGCCCGCGUCUGAUUAGCUAGUUGGUGGGGUAAAGGCCCACCAAGGCGACGAUCAGUAGCUGGUCUGAGAGGAUGAUCAGCCACAUUGGGACUGAGACACGGCCCAAACUCCUACGGGAGGCAGCAGUGGGGAAUCUUGCGCAAUGGGCGAAAGCCUGACGCAGCCAUGCCGCGUGAAUGAUGAAGGUCUUAGGAUUGUAAAAUUCUUUCACCGGGGACGAUAAUGACGGUACCCGGAGAAGGAGCCCCGGCUAACUUCGUGCCAGCAGCCGCGGUAACAC